GAAGCGGCCGGCCCCUUUUCCUGCUACGGCUGGGGGCUCUGCGUCUUCUCCCUCUUCCUCGGCCCGGGGGAGGAAGACGGACCUGGCUUCGUUCAGCCGUAUCCCGGCGCCUGCGGUGAAGGAGGAAUUGGACGACCGCGGGACCAAGAAAGGACGGCCUUCGCCUCAUGUGCGUGCGAUCGUGAGCUAUGCCCUUCCUCUCCGACCUCUGUGUGCGAUCUCAUGUGCAUGCUCAGGUUAUUUUCCUUCAGGGUUAGUUAACUUGGCGGUCAGUUGAUUUGGUGGCCUGUCGUCAUGCGUUGCAGGUUGCUGGGAGGUAUGGCGCGGUAAGGAGGAACCGGUGAGAACGAGAUCAACGGGUGGCUCCAAGGGGACACGAAUCCACCUCGCUCGAGGCUGCAGUUCGCUUCGGAAAUUCAAAUGUUUGGUUAGAUCCUUCCUAGAUCGAUGAAGAAUGCAUGCAUUAUGUGCGUGCCUCGCGCUACUCUUGUCUGAAAACCAUUCCGGUUUGAUGCCGACCAAUAGUAUCUCUAACGGAUCCUUUAUAAUUUAUUAAGUC
rnacentral:lncRNA from 1 species